GUCACAGCUACUAAAGGGUUUAACACUGAUGGUAUGUCUGCUGGGUUACGAGCUUCGGGGAAGAAGCCUGAUCUCGGUCUUGUGACCUGUGAUGUCGAUGUUGUUGCUGCAGGUUCAGUGCUAUAGUUAUGUUUGUUGUGCUUAAGUGGAAAAACGUUUCUGAUUUUCUUCUUGUGUAUUUUUUCUUCAGUGGUGUUGCUGUGAUUUGUCUCUUUUGCACGUUUGUUGCAAUGUUGUUCCCUUCUUUCUCAGUUUUUGUGGACUUGCCGCAUACACGUGACUGGUUCCUGGUGUUUGAAACUUCUGCAUUUGUAUGCAGUUUUUCUCCUACUUGUCCGCUUUCUUGAAACUUCCAAAGUCUAAAUCCCCAUGUGCUUUGGUUCUCAAGUAUUUUUUGCUUUGAGAGAUCGCAAGCUUGUCUCCUUUGCAUAGUAUGUAUCAGAUGUUGUUGCAGUCUUUGUUGGGGGAUCUGGAACUCCAUCUUUCACCACCUCCCAUAGCUCUCUGACCAUCAAACUCAGCCACCAGAUGCAGAUGGGAUAUCUCAAUAAGAAUGACAGAGCGGCUGUAGGCGAGGAACUUAGCUACAUGGAGAAGAGUCUGUCUUGAACUAAACUCUUCGUUGGUGUCAAACUUUACAAGUGCGAUAUAUUUUUCAUCGAUUUAUUGAGGUUCUUAUGCGCAAGUAGAUUGUGAUCACACAAUAAUAUGAGUAAAAUUCUGUGUAUGAGGUUUUCUGUUA